ACAAUCAUCCAUUGGUCGGAGCAGUGGCACUGGGAAGGCCCGGAAGGAUGCCAGGAUGCAGCAGAGGGAGAUAGGGUUGGGGAGAGGUGGACAGCCUGAGAAAAGGCACAAAAUUGGGAAAUGUCAGAAAUCUUCUUUAGAGACAGAAGGUCACAGAGGGGUACUCCUGCUGGGUAGUGCUACCAAUAAACUAAACUGUGCCCUUGUUUGUGGUACUACCAUAACAAUCAGCAGCGAGGACCUGAUGGACAGUUGAAAAUGGGCAUUUGAAUGGCUGGUGGCCACUUGUUCCUGUUGUGGCACUUUGAUUCCAGGGUCUUUUAGUGUUGGGAUUGUGGACAUUCUAGACAAGAUGAGUCUGUUUGGAAGGCUGAAUGUGAAUAUUUAGUACGAUCCCUGCCUUAUUUCUACCCUUGGGGAAGAUGACUUAAAAUGUCUCCUUACAUUACUAGAUGAUUCCUGAGUGAGGCCAAACCAGCCUUGGUUACCAACAGGCUCGGGAGGUAGGAAACUCAUGCUCUUGGGGUAAUGUCAUGUGACUUUUUUAGUAAAAUAUUUCCUGCCUUCAAGCCUGGGUUUUUUUGCUCAAAAUGUGAGGCAGCCACAGGCUUGGUGUGGUGCAUCACCCAGGAAGCUGAGGCAGAAGGAUUAGGAGUUUAAGACCAGUUUGUUCUGUAUACGGAGAUACAUCUUUAAGGAAAAGUAGCCAGGCUACAGUUGGUUGGUUGAAGGUCCCUAAGGACCUUUUAAAUUUAGCCAGUCAGCAUUGGUCCCAGAAGUGUGGCCAGCAGCUCCUGCUGCCUGUUGCUCCUGCAUUAUGCAGUGUGGAUGACACCCAUAUCUCCUGCUGGGAAAGCUGGCAGCAGCUGGCUCUGUGCUGAGCCCAGGGCUAAUCUACUGACUUCCAGAGCAGGUUGACUGUUAAAGAAGACUUUUGCAAGGAUGGUGUGACCAUCUAGCAUGGGACCUACUGAUGGUCAGGGAGUGGUCAUAUGUUCCUGAGCGAAAGCACCAUAGGCAGAAAGACUGGGACCCUCAAGACCUGAGAUAUGGCCUCUGAGAUGGUGCAGCUGCAGGAGAGGUUCCUCUUGAUCACUGUGCUGACUGACAGAAGGUUGAGAUGAUCCAUGAUGCCUCUGCUGGGCUAUAAACACGGUUCCUUGAAGUACAUGAUUGUGUUUGGAAAUAAAGCUUUCUGAUGCAAAUUAA